rnacentral:rRNA from 1 species
AUGGCUGAAAAGAUAAAUGACCAUGUUCUUUCAUUGCUGCCUUUGGAUGACAGAGAGUACUUAAGCUUUGAUUCCGUAGGAAACUCUUCAGAUGGCGUACGAAAUAUAGAUGCUUUCUAUCAUGUUGAGUGCCUGAACAAGAUUAAGAUUAACAAUUUCCCAUGGCAUAGGUUGGUCCUUAAAGCAGGUGUGCCCAUUAUGCUACUUAGAAAUUUAAACCAGUCAGCGGGCCUGUGCGAUGGCACUCGACUUAUAGUAACAAAGCUUGCUGACAAAGUAAUUGAAGCGGUUGUUAUCACUGGCUCUAAUGUUGGCGACGUCGUUUACAUCCCAAGAAUAUGUUUGACAUCCAAGCAACCUAAAUGGCCAUUUAAUUGCAUAGGAACCAAUUUCCUGAUAGGGUUUGCUAUGCUAUGA